AAAAUCAUGGCCUCCUAGAUGUAUUGAGACAACUUCGUUGUUCAGGCCUGGCGCAUCGCUAAGUUCGGCUGAUUCUCCACUGGCGCUGCAUUUAGCGGACUGACGUUUAUUUGACAAAUACCAAUUUUGAGGUUAAAGACUAAUAAAUUUGAAAGAUGUAAAUGUGCAUUCGUGAAAUACGUAGGAAAUGUGAGGAUAAUUCUAAAGUUGUGCCCUGAAUGAACGUUUGGAUAGUCUUCAGAAGAUAUACAAAUUAUUUUAGGGUGAAUUGGUGGUUCGUCAUCGUUUAUAAAUAUUAAAGAAAACGAUGUUUCAAAGUACCUUUCAUUUAUUAGGCAUACUAUAUGGUUUUACCAAUGGUUUAGGUAGAAUGCGUUACAAAUCUGUGAUUUUUAAGACAUGGCUUAAGUUUUCUGAAAGAUAUUUGCAACCUUUUAACCAGCAGAUAUUUGCAAUACAUUGUUUAGGCAAAUGAAACUAUUUUGCACACACGUAUUUUCAAAACCUGCUAUUGUUAAUUUAAUUUUAGUAAAAUGUACAAAGAAAGUCGUUUUUUUCAAAUGAGAUGGUUUAAAAAAGCUCGAUCCAGCGUUCCUCUGCUGCGUUACUCUCUGCUGGAGUAUCUCUGGACCGUCCGUUCCAAAGUCCCUGCCAUAGAUUAUAGAUAUUUAUAGUCCCUGUCUGGACCUCUGCUCACUCUCACGCACCGCUCGUGAAUCACCAAACUCCCGAAAAAAAUCUACUACUUUAUUAAUUUUUUUGAGUUUUUGUAUUUAGAAUUUAUCAAUUACAUUGUAAGCUCUUUUUCA